rnacentral:rRNA from 1 species
UACGUAGGUGGCAAGCGUUAUCCGGAUUUAUUGGGCGUAAAGGGAACGCAGGCGGUCUUUUAAGUCUGAUGUGAAAGCCUUCGGCUUAACCGGAGUAAUGCAUUGGAAACUGGGAGACUUGAGUGCAGAAGAGGAGAGUGGAACUCCAUGUGUAGCGGUGAAAUGCGUAGAUAUAUGGAAGAACACCAGUGGCGAAAGCGGCUCUCUGGUCUGUAACUGACGCUGAGGUUCGAAAGCGUGGGUAGCAAACAGG